GCGCCCAAUGUGGAAUCAACUGCGGUAAGCUAAAGGUUCUACGGGACUAUUUAAAGGCCUCCACCGUCGUAGUCGUUGCAUUCAUGGUACCGACUUCAUUUUUUUUCUCUUUUUUUGCCAAAGACUGUGCCUGACACACAGCCACAACAGAUCCUCGCUCACCACUCGGGUUUCCCUUUUCAAAUCGCUGUACUUUGCUCAUUAUUGGCCUCCAUGUCGCUGUGAUGAGCAUCCGGGGCGGGGCUACACGAGCGGAACUUGGAACCUGAUUGGACACCUCAGGUGCCCCAGUUGAUUGACAGGUCACUGCACGUCUCGUUGAAAGCACCGCAUUACGGAAAGGCAAAGGCGGGAGGCAGAAGGCUUUAAAAACACGCAUGGGUCGAGUGGACCGACUUUGAAUACGUCAUCUUGAAUUUCAUCAGUUGCUGAGAGUGACACACAUACGUCUGCCUCUGGAGAGGAAGGCAGUGAGCCAGAGCUGCUAGGAGGAGAUGCCACCGAAGCCCCCACAUCCACAUCAAGCACCACUUACUGUGCAGCUGAAGGACGGAGCGGCGAUAAACACUGCGGUGUGCUGCGAGUGACAAACGGAAAGAUGAGCGAGCGAUGCAGGGAGAGAAGACAGAGAGACGACUGGGCUGGAGACAGACACAUCGCACUGAUCCAAAUGUGGAGACUGUGCAAUAGUCUAAUUGACGUGUUAAGUUGACUGUGUUAACGGUGUAAUAAGUUUCAUUGUUUAAUUGGUCAAAUUUCAUUAAUAUUGUGUCAAGUUUCAUUUUGUCCCAUGUGAAGACAGUGCCAAUGUGGAGGCUUUUUAUUGACACAGGACAUGACGAUUAUUGAUAUUUAUUCUUAGAUAAUGUAUCAUCAUUUGUUGUGACAGAGAAGAAAAUAAAGCCUGUCUUCCAAUUCAGUGCAUGUGUGGCCUAAUGGUUAUUUUUGUGUCAGAAAUAUGAGCAUGAAAAAGUGCACAAAUGAAGAUGCCCUUACUCGCGCUAGCUUUGAAAGAAAUGGUAUUGGUGCACCCCUAGCCUAAAGCCUGAAUCAAGAAUGGCUCCACAACUAUAAAGGUCAAUAUGCAUGGUCUUGGUUUCUAUGGUGGGGUCAGACUUCAGAGAUAUUAGUCCUAGUGUCAGUAACAUUGUCAAUGUUACUAUGCCUGAGUAGACUGUGCUAAACAAAGGGGAACAUUUUUGUUUUUGUCCUUGCCUACAAUUUGUCUUAGAUUAGACAGUGGGUCACAACAUGAUGGCAACGAUUCCACGCACUGAGAUGCUCCUGCAUUCAUUCAGCAACGCCUUCACUGCAGCUGCAGCCAAGAAUAUGGGAAUUCUGUCAAGUACAUUGAUUCUGCAAGGAUUUAGUGAGGAAAUGAGAAGGCAGAUUCUU